UACGAAGGGGGCUAGCGUUGCUCGGAAUCACUGGGCGUAAAGCGCACGUAGGCGGAUUGUUAAGUCAGGGGUGAAAUCCUGGAGCUCAACUCCAGAACUGCCUUUGAUACUGGCGACCUUGAGUCCGGGAAAGGUGAGUGGAACUGCGAGUGUAGAGGUGAAAUUCGUAGAUAUUCGCAAGAACACCAGUGGCGAAGGCGGACUCACUGGCCCGGUACUGACGCUGAG
rnacentral:rRNA from 1 species